UGGGGAAUCUUCCACAAUGGGCGCAAGCCUGAUGGAGCAACACCGCGUGAGUGAAGAAGGGUUUCGGCUCGUAAAGCUCUGUUGUUAAAGAAGAACACGUAUGAGAGUAACUGUUCAUACGUUGACGGUAUUUAACCAGAAAGUCACGGCUAACUACGUGCCAGCAGCCGCGGUAAUACGUAGGUGGCAAGCGUUAUCCGGAUUUAUUGGGCGUAAAGAGAGUGCAGGCGGUUUUCUAAGUCUGAUGUGAAAGCCUUCGGCUUAACCGGAGAAGUGCAUCGGAAACUGGAUAACUUGAGUGCAGAAGAGGGUAGUGGAACUCCAUGUGUAGCGGUGGAAUGCGUAGAUAUAUGGAAGAACACCAGUGGCGAAGGCGGCUACCUGGUCUGCAACUGACGCUGAGACUCGAAAGCAUGGGUAGCGAACAGGAUUAGAUACCCUGGUAG
rnacentral:rRNA from 1 species